UCCGGAAGGGGCAAGCGUUGUUCGGAAUCAUUGGGCGUAAAGGGCGCGUAGGUGGUUCUGUAUGUCUACCGUGAAAGCGUACGGCUCAACCGUAUUUUGUCGGUAGAAACUGCAGGACUUGAGGCUGGGAGGGGCUGGUGGAAUUCCCGGUGUAGCGAUGAAAUGCGUAGAGAUGGGGGAGAACACUCGUGGCGAAGGCGGCCAGCUAGACCAGUUCUGACACUGAGGCGCGAAAGCGUGGGGAGCAAACAGG
rnacentral:rRNA from 1 species